AUUGAACGCUGGCGGCAGGCCUAACACAUGCAAGUCGAGCGGUAGCACAGAGAGCUUGCUCUCGGGUGACGAGCGGCGGACGGGUGAGUAAUGUCUGGGAAACUGCCUGAUGGAGGGGGAUAACUACUGGAAACGGUAGCUAAUACCGCAUAACGUCGCAAGACCAAAGUGGGGGACCUUCGGGCCUCAUGCCAUCAGAUGUGCCCAGAUGGGAUUAGCUAGUAGGUGGGGUAAUGGCUCACCUAGGCGACGAUCCCUAGCUGGUCUGAGAGGAUGACCAGCCACACUGGAACUGAGACACGGUCCAGACUCCUACGGGAGGCAGCAGUGGGGAAUAUUGCACAAUGGGCGCAAGCCUGAUGCAGCCAUGCCGCGUGUGUGAAGAAGGCCUUCGGGUUGUAAAGCACUUUCAGCGGGGAGGAAGGCGAUAAGGUUAAUAACCUUGUCGAUUGACGUUACCCGCAGAAGAAGCACCGGCUAACUCCGUGCCAGCAGCCGCGGUAAUACGGAGGGUGCAAGCGUUAAUCGGAAUUACUGGGCGUAAAGCGCACGCAGGCGGUCUGUCAAGUCGGAUGUGAAAUCCCCGGGCUCAACCUGGGAACUGCAUUCGAAACUGGCAGGCUAGAGUCUUGUAGAGGGGGGUAGAAUUCCAGGUGUAGCGGUGAAAUGCGUAGAGAUCUGGAGGAAUACCGGUGGCGAAGGCGGCCCCCUGGACAAAGACUGACGCUCAGGUGCGAAAGCGUGGGGAGCAAACAGGAUUAGAUACCCUGGUAGUCCACGCCGUAAACGAUGUCGAUUUGGAGGUUGUGCCCUUGAGGCGUGGCUUCCGGAGCUAACGCGUUAAAUCGACCGCCUGGGGAGUACGGCCGCAAGGUUAAAACUCAAAUGAAUUGACAGGGGCCCGCACAAGCGGUGGAGCAUGUGGUUUAAUUCGAUGCAACGCGAAGAACCUUACCUGGUCUUGACAUCCACAGAACUUUCCAGAGAUGGACUGGUGCCUUCGGGAACUGUGAGACAGGUGCUGCAUGGCUGUCGUCAGCUCGUGUUGUGAAAUGUUGGGUUAAGUCCCGCAACGAGCGCAACCCUUAUCCUUUGUUGCCAGCGGUUAGGCCGGGAACUCAAAGGAGACUGCCAGUGAUAAACUGGAGGAAGGUGGGGAUGACGUCAAGUCAUCAUGGCCCUUACGACCAGGGCUACACACGUGCUACAAUGGCAUAUACAAAGAGAAGCGACCUCGCGAGAGCAAGCGGACCUCAUAAAGUAUGUCGUAGUCCGGAUUGGAGUCUGCAACUCGACUCCAUGAAGUCGGAAUCGCUAGUAAUCGUAGAUCAGAAUGCUACGGUGAAUACGUUCCCGGGCCUUGUACACACCGCCCGUCACACCAUGGGAGUGGGUUGCAAAAGAAGUAGGUAGCUUAACCUUCGGGAGGGCGCUUACCACUUUGUGAUUCAUGACUGGGGUGA
rnacentral:rRNA from 1 species